GAUGAACGCUGGCGGCGUGCCUAAUACAUGCAAGUAGAACGCUGAAGGAGGAGCUUGCUCUUCUGGAUGAGUUGCGAACGGGUGAGUAACGCGUAGGUAACCUGCCUGGUAGCGGGGGAUAACUAUUGGAAACGAUAGCUAAUACCGCAUGACAACAGUUAUUGCAUGAUAACUGUUUAAAAGGGGCAACUGCUCCACUACCAGAUGGACCUGCGUUGUAUUAGCUAGUUGGUGAGGUAACGGCUCACCAAGGCGACGAUACAUAGCCGACCUGAGAGGGUGAUCGGCCACCCGGGGACUGGAACACGGCCCAGACUCCUACGGGAGGCAGCAGGAGGGAAUUUUCGGCAAUGGACGGAAGUCUGACCGGGCAACGCCGCGGGAGUGAAGAAGGUUUUCGGAUCGUAAAGCUCUGUUGUAAGAGAAGAACGGGUGGGGGGGGGGAAAGUUCACACGGGGACGGAAUCUUACCAGAAAGGGACGGCUAACUACGU
rnacentral:rRNA from 1 species